rnacentral:rRNA from 1 species
UACGGAGGAUCCGAGCGUUAUCCGGAUUUAUUGGGUUUAAAGGGUGCGUAGGAGGUUUGAUAAGUUAGAGGUGAAAUGUCGGGGCUCAACCCCGAAACUGCCUCUAAUACUGUUGGACUAGAGAAUAGUUGCGGUAGGCGGAAUGUAUGGUGUAGCGGUGAAAUGCUUAGAGAUCAUACAGAACACCGAUUGCGAAGGCAGCUCACCAAACUAUAUCUGACGUUGAGGCACGAAAGCGUGGGUAGCAAACAGG